GUCUCACUUGGGCGGCAAAUCGCCUUCUGAAGGAGAAGAGGACCAGCAUGUUGAAGGCGGCAAGGUAAAAUUCCUUAUGGGAUGAAUUAGUCUAGGCUGUAUUUACUAGGAAUUAGCGUUCAGAUUUGUUUAAGAAAAUUGCACGAUGAUCCUAUGACCUUGCUCUGGAACAGACUCAGUUCAGUUGCAGAGAAACCUAAUUUCUUUCCACCUCCUUCUGAAGCGUUGAUGGCUUGUCAAGAAUGCCUUGGAUAUCCCACACCUAGAUCGCCCUGAGUUUUUCAGAGCUCAUUUUCUGUAACAAAGGAUGCAAAAUAAUUACCAAAAAAAGAAAAAACAGAGUAGAUCAGCUAAACUAUGAAACAUAAUCUCCUAGCGAUGCUCAGAGUGUAUAGAUGCAGUUUUCCCAUCAGUAUAAUUACCUUAUUAAGGACAAAAUCUCAUAAGAUCCUUUACACUUUGUCUCCUGAUUUUUUUUUUUCCUGCUUCAUAACUACAGGUAUCGUCAAUGGAGAAGAGCAAUGACCAGAGAAGUGAAGAAGCUGAGGGUGCUACAGAGCAUUCCGAAAGGGAAAUUGAAAAUGAUGGGGAAGUCACAGCGCAGGGGGACUAUGGAGGAAGCCAAGGGGAAAUGGAAAUGGAAGAGGAAUUUGAAUUAGAAGAGGAAUUAGAAUCUGAUUUGGAAGCCACGUCCCCUGAAGGGGAAGUCAGUUCUCUAGAUCUGGCUUCCUCAGACAUCAGUCUUGGGGAGGGGCCCGAAGAUGAAGUUGACCGCACACCCCCGUAUGAAGGAACAAGGAGGGAAAUGGGUCUUGAGGACAGAGAGGCCCCCCACCCAUCCAAAUCCACAGGAAUGGGGUUCAUCACCACAAAGAGCUCCCAGCAAGUAUUAGGCCUGUCUGAGCAAAUGAACCAGGGAACACUCCAGCAGAAGGUCUUUCCUCUGGAGGCUGGGCAUCACCUCAGACAGAGCCCAGGGAGCAGCGACACAUCCCUGGGUCUUGACGAGCUGCCUCCGGGCACAGAGGAGCCCUUUGCCCCGGAGUCAGGUACUAUGGGACAAGCCACUUCCCAUCCCCUUCUGUGCAAGGGCUCCCACUCCUUCGCCCCCUGUUACCUCAUUUCCUGUUGGGCUGAGUCUAAAGAUAAAAAUGUCAUUAACAGAAAUGGAUAA
rnacentral:lncRNA from 1 species